rnacentral:rRNA from 1 species
UACGUAGGGCGCAAGCGUUGUCCGGAAUUAUUGGGCGUAAAGAGCUCGUAGGCGGCCUGUUGCGUCCGCUGUGAAAUCCCGGGGCUCAACCCCGGGCCUGCAGUGGAUACGGGCUGGCUAGAGGCAGGCAGGGGAGAACGGAAUUCCUGGUGUAGCGGUGAAAUGCGCAGAUAUCAGGAGGAACACCGGUGGCGAAGGCGGUUCUCUGGGCCUGUACUGACGCUGAGGAGCGCAAGCGUGGGGAGCAAACAGG